UACGUAGGGUGCGAGCGUUAAUCGGAAUUACUGGGCGUAAAGCGUGCGCAGGCGGUUCGUUGUGUCGGCGGUGAAAGCCCCGGGCUUAACCUGGGAAUGGCCGUUGAAACUGGCGAACUGGAGUGUGGCAGAGGGGGGUGGAAUUCCGCGUGUAGCAGUGAAAUGCGUAGAGAUGCGGAGGAACACCGAUGGCGAAGGCAGCCCCUCGGCGUGACACUGACGCUCAGGCACGAAAGCGUGGGGAGCAAACAGG
rnacentral:rRNA from 1 species